UACGUAGGGUCCGAGCGUUGUCCGGAAUUACUGGGCGUAAAGCGCACGUAGGCGGACUCUUAAGUCGGUGGUGAAAUCCUGGAGCUCAACUCCAGAACUGCCUUUGAUACUGAAGAUCUUGAGUUCGGGAGAGGUGAGUGGAACUGCGAGUGUAGAGGUGAAAUUCGUAGAUAUUCGCAAGAACACCAGUGGCGAAGGCGGCUCACUGGCCCGAUACUGACGCUGAGGCACGAAAGCGUGGGGAGCAAACAGGG
rnacentral:rRNA from 1 species